rnacentral:rRNA from 1 species
UACGUAGGGGGCAAGCGUUGUCCGGAUUUAUUGGGCGUAAAGAGCGUGUAGGCGGCCAUACAAGUCUGCUGUGAAAACUCGAGGCUCAACCUCGAGCUGUCGGUGGAAACUGUCUGGCUAGAGUCCGGAAGAGGAGAAUGGAAUUCCCGGUGUAGCGGUGAAAUGCGCAGAUAUCGGGAAGAACACCCGUGGCGAAGGCGGUUCUCUGGGACGGUACUGACGCUGAGACGCGAAAGCGUGGGGAGCGAACAGG